AUUGAACGCUGGCGGCAUGCUUUACACAUGCAAGUCGAACGGCAGCGCGGGCUUCGGCCUGGCGGCGAGUGGCGAACGGGUGAGUAAUGCAUCGGAACGUGCCCAGUAGUGGGGGAUAGCCCGGCGAAAGCCGGAUUAAUACCGCAUACGACCUGCGGGUGAAAGCGGGGGACCGAAAGGCCUCGCGCUAUUGGAGCGGCCGAUGUCGGAUUAGCUAGUUGGUGGGGUAAAGGCUUACCAAGGCGACGAUCCGUAGCUGGUCUGAGAGGACGUCCAGCCACACUGGGACUGAGACACGGCCCAGACUCCUACGGGAGGCAGCAGUGGGGAAUUUUGGACAAUGGGGGCAACCCUGAUCCAGCCAUGCCGCGUGCGGGAAGAAGGCCUUCGGGUUGUAAACCGCUUUUGUUCGGGAAGAAAUCCUCUGGGCUAAUACCCCGGGGGGAUGACGGUACCGGAAGAAUAAGCACCGGCUAACUACGUG
rnacentral:rRNA from 1 species